CAACCCUCAAGCUCUGCUUGGUGUUGGGGCCCUACGGCUGCCGUAGGCCCUGAAAAGAAGUGGCGGGCUCGCUACAACUCCGAGCGUAGUAAUUCUUUAUCUCGCUAGGGAAGUGUGGCUUGCUCCUGCCGUUAAAGACCCCAUCUUUAACAA
rnacentral:misc_RNA from 1 species